UCCCAGCAUUCAGGGAACAGACACAUGCAGAUCUCUGAGUUCUAGUCAGUCAGUCUGAUUGAGUCAAUGAUUGGGGAGUGGGGGUGGGGGAGGGAGAGAGGGAGAGAGAGAGAGAGAGAGAGAGAGAGAGAGAGAGAGAGAGAGAGAGAGAGAGCAAGCAAAGCUUUACCAAGACAGGUUGCACGUGAAGACAGAGCAAGCCAGAGAAUGAGAAGGAGCCAAAAGAUUGUAAGUUAGUUUGAGGCCAAGCAGAGCAAUUCAGUCAUAAGUAGAGACUGAAUCAGUCAGCCUGGAGAGGAGUUUGGCCCGUAACAGCUGACUUGAACCAGCCAGCCAGAGUUCAGAAUGAACUAGAAAGGGUGACUUAUUCAGCAGCAAGCCUCUGAGAUGACAGUUACAUGAGGUGAAUAUAAGUCACUGUUACGAAUGGGGUCGUGCACUGAAGAGCACUAAAGAAAUGCAGAGUUGGGAGAACUGGACCCCGUUGGUUAUACCAUGUGGUCAGCUCUGAAAUCAUACAUACAAGUAACUGUCAAUUCCAAAGACUCGAAGGACAGUCACCAAAGUGUCAGAGGUUACUCCAUUUAUUACUGGGGCUGGUUUCUUCACUUUAAAGGUAUUUUCUAUUUUAGUCUUUGUCAAUGUCCUUCAAUGUAACACUUCCUAUCCCUGGGCCUUUCUCCAGUCUCUCCCUGUCUGCACCUGGGUAGGCAGUAAGCUGUAUCUUAAUUCGGAUCUGCGUCUUUUAGAUUCAGAGCCCCAAGUGUAGGAGCUCUUUCCCAGAACAGUUUUUCUAAUAUACACAUAUCAUAUUCACCAGAAAUGAUCUUUCUCUGCAGUGUGAACAGCUUGAAGCAGAGAUAUGAGCUUCAGUUCUCCCUCUGUACCCCCUAGCAUGUGGAAAGGGACAUUCUCAUUGUCUAUGGAGACAGAUGGCCGCAAGCUGACCUUAAAACGUCGCUGAAGAAACCUUGAACUUCUGAUGUGCCCCGUUUACUUCCUAAGUGCUGAGGACAUAGGAAUGUGCCACCACAUUUGACUUACGCAGUGCUGGGGAUUGAACCUAGGGUACCAUGAGUGCAAGGCUGGAUUGGAUUCUGAGACGUUAUUCCCUGCUGCUUUAUUCAUUCACUUAAAAAGAAUCACUCUCAGACUUCACUCAUAAGUAAGCAUAAAUCACAAAGCGCUCUUCACAUUGCAUUUCAGAAUGCAUGAAACUUGGUCGCAACUGUGGGAAGUGUGGAUUCUAGAGUGUGAUAUCCACUAUUUUUUCUCCUCCGUGGAGCAAAGAUACAUCUCUGUAUUGCUGUUGUUGCCACUCACCAUUUAUGGAGAAUUGGUCCCAGUAUCUUCCACAGAUGCAAAACCUGAGUCUGCUGGAGUCCGUACCCACGUGUGUGACUGACACUUAACUGUCUUCAUCUUUAAAUUGCCUCUAGAUUGCUUAUCACACCCAAUGGGAUGUCAAUGUUCUGUACGUGGUUGUUACACUGUAUUGCUUAAAGAGCAACAUUGUAAACAUCCCGUAGGGGCUCCAGAAAGAUGCAGUUCAGUUUGGCUCUGCAGUUACUGGAGCCAGGAGUGGCAAAUGGAAACCCUGGUGUGAAGAUACAGCUGCGGUUCUUUAGACCGCUCUAGAGUUGAUGGACAUAAAUAAUAUUGAGCAUUGAGACGAGCAUGUGGUACCCAACAGAUGCUCUGCAACUGUGGGCUGGCGUCUUAUUUAUAUCCUUACCAAGACACUUUCCGUGUGAUGCCGGGACUGUGUGGGUCUCUGUGCUCUGGGUGCUGUGCUUGGUAUCUCUCUUCUCACCAGUACUGUUGAUGUGCCUGCUACUUACUCUGCUCCUGCUGCUGCCUGAAUCCCGAGUGUACACCUGCUAAUGAGGGUGGGGGUGGGGAUGGGGGGCUGAGUCCCACAGUGAGACUGGCCAUGGAAAAAUUUCCUUUCUGAAAUUUGAGACUGGGUCUCCCUAUGCUCUCCAGGCUGGCUAUGACAUUCUGGGGUCAUGAGCUCCUCCUCCUGCCUCGGACUUCAGAGUAGCUGAGAGUACACACAUGAGGGUUUAUGAUGAGCUGUAUUUGAGUUUUGCUUAAAUAUACUUUUAAAAUUUCUUUAGCAGCAAUAUUGUCUUAUUUGGGGUUUUACUGCUGUGAACAGACACCAUGACCAAGACAACUCUUAUAAGGACAACAUUAAUUAGGGCUGGCUUACAGGUUCAGAGGUUUAGCCCAUUAUCAUCAAAGCAGAAACAUGCCAGUGUUCAGGCAGGCAUGAUACAGGAGGAACUGAGAGGUCUACCUCUUCAUCUGAAGGCUGCUAGGACAAGACUGACUUCCAGGAAGCUAGGAAGAAGGUCUUAAAGCCCACACCUGCAGAGACAACUACUCCAACAAGGCCACACCCACCCAACAAGGCCACACCCACCCAAUAAGGCCACACCCACCCAACAAGGCCACACCCACCAAACAAGGCCACACCCACCAAACAAGGCCAUACCCACUCCAACAAGGCAAAACCUAUUAAUACUGCCACUUCCUGGGCCAUGUGUAUUCAAACCAACACAAAUAUAUUAGCUAGAUAGUUGAUUAAUUUUUUUUGUAAAUAAAGACUGGUGAAAACAUUGAUAUCUUGGCUUAACAGUAUUUUACACUGUCUGGUGGCAAAGGUGAGAAGGGAUGUAGAAUGCCUCCCUCCCAGUAUAAGUAGGACACCAUAUACUCUGUAACAUCCCAUCAAAAUAUAAAACAGAGAGAGACAGGGUUAAAGGACAUGAUCUAUAUCUAAGUACACACUUAAAGCCACUAUUUAUUUAUUGUUAUUAUUUUAAUCUCACAUGAAACCUUUCCCCAUGAUUUAUCUUUAUGUUUAAAAGGAAAUAAUCUUGAUAAGAAGAGAACUAUUUUUGUAUAUCUGAGCCAAACCAUUCCCCGAGAAUGUUCUUGGGUUGGCCCACAGCUGAGUUCUGAACAAUUACCCUGGCAUUAUCCUGAAAAUAAUCCACACAAGACCUACUAACACUAAAUAAAGCACAAUGGAAUACAAUUCUCCUCUCGAUCUAGGGACAGCAGUGAUAUUUCAGUCAGGAAAUCUAAGCUUUUCCCAAUGCACUGUACUCUUAGACUUUGGUCACCAAAUACUUUAGGCUGGAAACAGAUUGCUGAGUUCGUGGCUGGACCUGAACUCUGGUGAGAACCAAUUCCCCAUCACUUGGGAGAGUUUGUAUCUAUGUCAACUGUCCUUACUGUACAAUGAAUGCUGCUAAUUCUUGCUAGGGUUCAUGGUGCAUCCCAGCUGAGGGCACGUUGGUUCUAAAGGCCUCUGUCUAGCAGGGACCUCUCAGUUAAGACAGAAAAGGAAAUCUCAUGUGCUAAUAAGGAGAACAUGUGUUCUUGGUGCUGUGUUCACAGCAAUGGUGAAGGGUACCAGCCUCAAGCUCAUUUCCUCUGUGGCCCCUGGGAGCAGAGUUGCAAGGCAGUGGAAGCCGGUUCCCACAGGAUCCUGAGGGUCUUUGUAAACAAGCCAGCUAACAUCUUUGUGUUAGCUCCUCGUCUGUAAACAGUCAGCAUCCUGACUCCUAAUAACUUUAGAAAUGAAGCCAGCUAUGAGAACCCAGUGUAAUGGAUCAGAUAAGGGUUAUUGAGGUAUUGUGGGGUCUCGGUCAAUCGGAUUUAUAAAAAUCAAAAGUCUUUUGAUUGGUAAUGUUUGACUCAUCUGAUUUCCAGAGCUGUGCUUCUAUUGGUAGGGUCAUGACUACUGUCUUCACACAAGGGCUCUCUCACCAUUAGGUGGUCGUAGGAGCCUUUCUGUGACUUGGACUAAGAUCACUUAGACCAUAGUUCCCAAAGAGAACACCUUUUUAAAAAAUAUUUAUUUAUUUAUUUAUUUUACGUAUAUGACUAUACACUGUAGCUGUCUUCACACACACCAGAACAGGGCAUGGGAUCCUGCCGCAGAGGGUUGCGGGCCACCAUGUAAUUGCUGGGCGUUGAACUCAGGACCUCUGGAAGAACAGUCAGAGUUCUUAACCUCUGAGCCAUCUCUCCAGCCCAUAAAGAGAGUAACUUCAAUACAGAAAAACAGACUAAUAUCAAUGUAUAGUAAUACAAAUGUAUACAUGCAGACAUACUGGUUUUGAUGUGUGUAUUUACCGAGUGUCUAUGCGUUCCUAUGUAUAAUCGUCCUCAAGGCUCUGCAAGGGAUUGGAUCCAGGAUCCCAGCAGAUGCCCAAACUGUCAGAGGACCAAGUGCCAUUAAGGAACUGGUGCUGCCCUUGCACAUGACCCACGGCAUCCUUCUGCAAGGUUCAAGUCGUUGCUUGUUUAUAUACAGCCCCGCUACAGUGUGAAGACCACAGAUGCUGUUGCAGUGUUUAGUGGUGGGGACGGGAAGAGCAUCUGUGUGUACUUGGCAUGGCUGCCAUCACUCCUGCCCCCACACGUGUCUGUCUGCAUUUGGUGGAAUCCGCACACAUGGGACUCCCGAGCAUGGAGGGCAAACUGCACAGAUGUUUACAUGGCCUCCUCUAUUUCCCAGAUGCUCCUCCAGCCCUACAUGACUAACUUCCUGGGUCAGACUCCAUACAUUUUUUUCUAUGAACUCUAUUAGGCCUUCCAUUCUGCCUAGAAUACGUACAAGUUUAGUUUCCCUCAGCUGCUCUGUUAGAACAGGUUUGGGAAUGGCUACUCUACAGGCCGUCUCAACUAGGGCUGCACUGAAAAGAAGUCAUGAGGCUCUUGUUCCCGGUUUGUUUUGUUUAAGACAAGGUCUGUUAUAACCCAGCUGGCCUGUAACUUACCCCUGCAGCCAGGAUUGGCCUUGAACCUGCUUCCUCCUUCUACGUGACGUGAUGUUAUAGGAGUGCUCUGAGCUCUAAAACAUAACCCACUGCUCCACCUGUCCCACUGAGAGGCAGUGGCAAGUGAGAAUGGGGCAGGGAGAUUGUAUUUAGGGAAGUCCAGUGUAUACAAGGCAAUGAAAGACCAGGAAAGUAUAUGGGCAUCACUAAACACUGGGCAGAUGGGUCUCUAGGAAGCUUACCGUUUAGUUUAAUAAACUAUACAAUUCAGUUCUUUAUGAGGAGUAAAUGACUUUAAAAAUAUAUGAAAAAUAUGAUUACAGUUAAGCCACAUCUUCGUGACUGUGUUCAUUAUUAGUAUUCUGAAGUUCUCCACAUGGCAAUACUAUUUGAUUUUAAGUACACACGGCCACCUUGGGGUUAUAAAAGACCUGGGUGGCACUGCAAAUGAAAGAUAGUAAUUCCAGAGAGACUUGUGUUGAUGCAGUGUAAAAAGGGUUUCCCAAGGCAGCCCUCCUCACUCUUUACUGGUAUCACUCCAGAAGCUAAGUAAAACCAAGCCUGGGACUGUAGCAACGAGGGCCUUCAUUUUCACUUCUAGGAGUACAGUUGUUUGAGUGUGCCACCUACAGGUCAUAUAGAGAACUACACAUUUAAAUUAGAAAACUCAAGGCUCCCCAUUCUCAAAAAAUAUUUAUGUAGAAGAACAUAUUGGUGUGCGUGGGGCGCCAUCCUCUCAGAGGAGAGGGCUGGAGGAGAUGGGGGCAGGUGUUGUAGGAGGGGGAAAGGGAAGGGGCAGUGAUUGGGUGGUAAAGUGAAUGAAUGAAUGUAUGAAUGAAUGAAUGACGAAAUAAAUAAAUGAAGAGGUAUUUAGCAAAGAGAUCUCUUGCUCCUUUGCAGCUCUCAAAGAUUUUUAUAUCCGGGACAGGGGAAGUAACAAUGAGGAACUUAUCUCUGUGCACACGCUCCCAAAUUAUCUGUUAGCGGAACUCCUAAACUGACUUUGCCCAAACCAAGCCAACAAGAAUAACAACAAAAGCCAAAACAGCUCUGCUAAGAAAACCCAAACUCAAGCCUUCUGAUCCAUUUCCCUCUCCUUGCGUGUGCUUGGUGCCUUAGAGCACACAUAUAUGCUUUCUACUGUUUAGUGACUUACCUGAGAGCAAAUUCCCUUUCCCACACCUGGCUUAGCACAGAACUCUUCCUUUCUCCACUUUUUGGCUGGACUGUCUCUAUCGCUCUGCCUCCAAUAGUUUGCUGAGAACAAAGAGAGUCACAGCACAUCUGCAGAGUUGGAGCAAUGUACUCUACACGCUGGUUUAAAUGAUUGAUUUAGACUCUCCCAUAGAACCCUGGCAGUAGAAAAAGCCACCGGCGGAGGACCAAGAUGAUAAAGCUCUCUUGCUCGAGAACUGGAAGAACAUGGCCAGACACUAGGCAGAGAGUGAGUGACCUUGGGAUGCUCAGGCCUAAGUGGGAUCUCUCCAUUCAGUCCCUCCCCUCAGGACUCAAGACACCCCAUGCAAGAGAAGGCAGAAAGAGUCUAAGAUCUAGAAGGGAUGGAGGACACCAAGGAGACAGAGCCUAGUAAACACAUCUGAACUCAGAGAGACAGAGGCCUGCACAGGUCUGUGCAUGGGGUCCUAGAGCUGAAAGGAGCAGCAGACACCUGCUCUUACCCCUAACACAGACGGUAUCUCCAGUUGACAACUGCUUCAAAGGAAAGAUUAGUUUUCUCCAAGGGAGUCUCUCCAGAGAGACAAGCUGCCACUCAGGUUAGGUGUGUGCCCAGCAGAAGUCGGAAAUGCAGAAUGAACUCAAUAGCAUUUUGGAAAUCUCCACUCUCAUGAUGUCUCAGAGCUCCCCCCCCCAUCCCCUCCUCCCCUUCCCUCCCUCUUUCUUUUUAAAUGUGUUUUCCUGCAGGUCCUUUGCAAGACACAGAAAGGGGGUGGACCUGAAUGGGAGAGGAGGUGUGGGGAAACUGGGAGGAGUAGAGGGAAGGGAAAUCGUUAUACAGGUAUGUUGUAUGGAAAAAUAUUUUUUAAUAAUGGGGGAAGGAAAAUUCAGUCCCCCCCCCCCCCAUGUAAGAUUAGGUGGCAAGUGAAUCAAUAUGCCAUCUCCACUAGAGGGCAGUAUUUCUCUAGA